rnacentral:lncRNA from 1 species
CGACAAUGUCAUUUGGAAUCUUACCCACAGCAUCUCCCUUCUUUGGGCCUCUUUUCUCAUUUUUCCUGCUCUAGACCCUUUUCUUUACACUUCUGUUUCCAAACGUUUACUCCUUUAUUUGAUCUUUACCAGUGUUUUCACUGUUUUCAGUGUUUCCUUUUUUCUAUUUUCUACCUCCCUCGCUCUUCUCUGCCAUGCUUUUUUCCAACUCUAAAAAUAAAGGAAAGAAAAUUUUAAACUUAUGGAAAGAAACAAGUGCUAUUUUACCCUCUCCCUUUUGUAUGCUGGUGAAGUAGCUUCACUUGCAGUGAUGUGCAAUCUUUCCUCAUUUCCUCACCAGACCUUGCUUUAAACCAGGCCAGAGAAGAGGGAAAGCUGAAGAGAGGAAAUGACAAGGCACCCUACAGAUGGAAGCAUCAUGAGGGAUUCGACCCUUUGGAAGCUGUUAUCCCACUGUGGAGCUAUGACUUUUGGGCCAUUUUAGAAUGCAAGUGUCCUAAGAUUAGAGAUGAUAUUUUUCUACAUGUGUAAUAUGCCACUUAUCAAUGCCACUGUUGAGAAUUACUGUGAUGGGAAGAAACUGAUAAUUUGAGUUUUAAGGCUUUUUAUUUUUUUGUAUCUCAAUACAACGAUGAAUGAAAAAGUCCAGAAACAUCCUUUAGUUAGAGGUAAAGAAAAAAAUCCAGGCCUAAGUUAAUGAAUGAGAAGUCAAAGCCAGGCACAUGAGGGGUUGCCUGUUCUUUGGAAAGAUGGAAAGGAAUGCAGGACUACCACUGCCUUGCUUGGCUAGAACCCAUGGGCCUCUGCACAUGCCACCCAUGUUAGCAUACUCAGAGGUUCCCACCUCCACAUAGCUCUCCUUCUCUUUAUGGGUGGAACCUCUGAGUUCAGUAAGGUGUCCCAUCAAUGAAUUUCAGCUAGUGGUCCUGGAGGCAUUUCCUCCCCCAGUGCCACUCCCUUAGUUAAUCCCUAAGUUCAUCACUCAGAUCCUAACACAAAUAGCACCAGGGGUAUUUGCUGCUUUAGUUUCCCGGAUUGCCUAUGUUCUUGAAUCCUCCCUUUCAAGGCACACCUCUUACUUUAUCAUUAUUGACUUAACGUGGAAUAUUGGAUUGUUUGGCUUUUCGGCUAUUGCUCCAGGACAGGAAUCAUGUCUGUUUUCAUUAACCUUGGAAUCCCCAUAGUUCAAUUCAGGCAUUCUACAAAUAUUUGUAAACUAAAUAGCUAAAAGUACAUAAAUUCAUUAUCACCAAGGAAAAGAUCACUCUAAGUAGUUUCUACCAAGGUGAUGUAAGUAAAGUCACUGCUAUAUAUUAACAAAAAACAUCAGUAGGGUUUGAAUCUGAGUGAAUUGUGAUGACAACAAAUUAGGAAAUCAUAGGUCAUGCAUAUCCUAAAAAUGUAACACAUAUGAACUAUUUCUUAUACUAGAAAAGCUGUAGUGCUAAUUAAGCUUCUCAGAUUAACAGUUCUGUACUAAAAUGGUAAUACUUGGGCUGCCGUGCAUGAUGACAACAGCCAGUAAUGUGGCUAUCCCUAUAAGUUCAUCUGAUCAAUUCCAAAAAUGCCAUCAACAUAAACUUAUAAAAAAUUUAGACACUGAUGAUGCUGCACAUAAUGACGGAACAACAGAUUCUGGCCAGCUGACUAGAUAAUCCAAUGUUAAAAAAAAGAAGUAAUAAAAUACAAGGGUUUAUGUUUUGCUGAGCAGAAAUGCUCUAAGAAUAUGUUUAGAAAGUAAAUGGUUAUUGAUUUAAGUUGAAAUAUGGGAAUAAGAAGCAACAACAACAAAACAAAACUAGUCCUGUCAACUUGAUAAUUUUAUAUUUAAAUAUCUUUUGAAAAAGUCACAUCUAGUAUUAAUUAAAAGUACUACUAAAGUUAUAUAAAACCAGUAACUUAUGAUUAACAUCUUGACAAAUUUCCUUCUAACAAGUUUCAUGGCCAUACAUUUACCUGCUAAGGUCAGAUUAUCUGAGAAAUAAAAAGUAGAAAAUAAUAGCACUCCUUAUACAUGUGCAGUGCUAGUCACUUAAUGCUUUUUGGCAUUAACUUACUAAUCAUCCCAACUUGGAGGGGGUGGCAUUAUGCAUAUUUCAAAGUCUCUUC